GACGAACGCUGGCGGCGUGCCUAAUACAUGCAAGUCGAACGCUGAAGCUUGGUGCUUGCACCGAGCGGAUGAGUUGCGAACGGGUGAGUAACGCGUAGGUAACCUGCCUGGUAGCGGGGGAUAACUAUUGGAAACGAUAGCUAAUACCGCAUAAGAGUAGAUGUUGCAUGACAUUUGCUUAAAAGGUGCAAUUGCAUCACUACCAGAUGGACCUGCGUUGUAUUAGCUAGUUGGUGAGGUAACGGCUCACCAAGGCAACGAUACAUAGCCGACCUGAGAGGGUGAUCGGCCACACUGGGACUGAGACACGGCCCAGACUCCUACGGGAGGCAGCAGUAGGGAAUCUUCGGCAAUGGACGGAAGUCUGACCGAGCAACGCCGCGUGAGUGAAGAAGGUUGUCGGAUCGUAAAGCUCUGUUGUAAGAGAAGAACGAGUGUGAGAGUGGAAAGUUCACACUGUGACGGUAUCUUACCAGAAAGGGACGGCUAACUACGUG
rnacentral:rRNA from 1 species